ACGGCGAGUGAAGCGGGAAGAGCUCAAAUUUGAAAUCUGGCGGCAUCCUGUCGUCCGAGUUGUAAUCUAUAGAAGUGUUUUCCGCGGCGGACCAUGUACAAGUCCCUUGGAACAGGGCGUCAUAGAGGGUGAGAAUCCCGUCCUUGACAUGAUCUCCGGUUGCUAUGUGAUACACUUUCAACGAGUCGAGUUGUUUGGGAAUGCAGCUCAAAAUGGGUGGUGAAUUCCAUCUAAAGCUAAAUAUUGGCGAGAGACCGAUAGCGAACAAGUACCGUGAGGGAAAGAUGAAAAGCACUUUGGAAAGAGAGUUAAACAGUACGUGAAAUUGUUGAAAGGGAAACGAUUGAAGUCAGUCAUGCUCUUUGGGUUAAGCCGUUCGCGGUGUAUUCCAUUGAGUGGGGUCAACAUCAGUUUUGACCGCUGGAAAAAGGCACGAGGAAGGUAGCACUCUCGGGUGAACUUAUAGCCUCGCGUCAUAUACAGUGGUUGGGACUGAGGAACGCAGCAUGCCUUAUGGCCGGGAUUCGUCCACGUACAUGCUUAGGAUGUUGACAUAAUGG
rnacentral:rRNA from 1 species